UUUUCAACAUAUUUGACCGCAUUACUGGAUAUAUAUUUGAGUAGAUAGUACAAUAACGCUGGUUUCGUUCUAUUCGGUUCUGUGCAUAUCUACCAGUUUCUAUGCGUAGCUUGUGGGAUGACAACCUUAAUCUAGACAGUGAAUUCCGAAGGGUGCUAGGCAACACAUUCAGCAUAUCAAAGUGUUUUUGAAGUUCUGAAGGUGUUCUACCUAAUAUAACCAUAUCAUCAGCAAAAAGCAUCAAAAUGAAGGUAAUGUCAUCUAUCGUAAGGCCACAAGUGUAAUCUUCUUGCAAAAAUAACUCUAAGUCUUCUAUAAAUAAUGAAAAUAAUAAAGGG